rnacentral:lncRNA from 1 species
GAUGCUGGAUUUACUGUGCAGGUGGUCAGGCCCAUGGAGGGUUUGUUUCCAUGCAUCUUCUCAGCACACACUCUCCCGGGCUCUUGGCUGAGACCUGAGUCUGGUCCCCGGCUUUCUGCCCAGAGCAGAAAUCCCGCUUCCCUAAGACGCCAGGGAGCUCGCUGGAAAGCGGCCACAGUGCGAGCAGAUAUCCCACUCCAGCCCGGGAGGAACAGAACAGACCAAUGGAACAGAAUAGAGAACCUGGCUAAUGAGCAAAAUCCAAGCACUGCCCACCCCCAUUAGCUCCUACCGGAGUCACAGCUGUCACCGCCGCUUACGUGCAGUCCUGUAUCCUGGUGUUUCCCGAAGGCUGGCUUUUCCUCCCUGGAUCUGUAACUCGACAGUAUAAUAGCAGGUCAGUACCAGAAGUUUCCUUAAAUGUUUUGCAUACUCUCUCCUGUGUGCUGCCUCAAAGGAUUUUAAUGAUGACUGUGUUUAAUGGGAAGUCUUUUCUCUCUAUUAAUCCCCUUCUGCAGAAAACUUGGCGGGUUUGCCAGCCUGCCGGGGGGUUGCUGCAUCUGGGCAAAGCAGCCCCUUCACUCACUACCUAUGAUGGGAAGGAGCGUGGAGCCACCGAAGAGGGUGUCCGCUUGGCCUGAGCUUGGCUGAAGCGAGCAGGAUACGUGGCCCAGGAGGCUGAUCCCAUUGGACUAGCCUGUCUGUGGCUUCCUGUUGGGGUCAAUGGAUGGGGAGCCCUCAAGGGGAUUCAGAGGGACAGAAGGUUGCAGGCUGUUGCAGCUGACGGAAUUUGCUGUUGGCAGAGACUGCCUGCUGCCAGACAAGGUUGUGUCUGUUCCACAAAAGCCCAGCUCCCUCUGCCAGGAGCUCUUGGCACCGGAGGUCACCAAGCCCGCUGUGGGGCCUACCUACGCCAUCAACAGUGAUGAUGUCUCAUGUAUGAAUAAUGCCUUGACAGAGCGUUUCUCAACUCCUUCCUGCAAAGAAGGGAUCAGAGAGUCUAGGGGGAAGGUAAGCGCCUGCCCAAGGCCACACGGUUGUGAGGGGGAAGGGCAGGAGUGAAAGCCAAGGUCAGGGUGGGAGCAGAGAUCAGGGCAGGACCAGCCAGCUCCGUGUGCUGUGGACUGAGAGGUUCAAAGGAAGUAGAAAUGUCAAUACAUGGGAAACAGGUGGACUGAAAAAUCGAUGGCAGUGCUGAAGGGUCUUAAGCAAUCAAUAUUUGUGUAGGAUGUGCGGAGAAGCAGCUGAGCUAACAUGAGCUUCAUCUGCUGAAGGUGCUGAUGAGCUAACGUGUGGAAUGCGGAGGACCGAGCAGUUCACAGGAGGGUGUGUAUCAGUUAGCAUGAAACUGCUGCGUAACAAAAUAGCCCCAGGCUCAGGGGCCUAAAGGUCAGCUGAUGGCCUAGUCUGGGCUUGGCCAGAGAAGCUGUUUUUUUUUCUCCAGAGACAGCAGGCCAGCCAGGCCUGUCCUGCUCCUGAUGCUGGCAGAAGCAUGAAAAGACAAAUGCAAAGGUGCAGACACUUGAGACCCAGACCCGGAGCUGGCUGAGAAUGCUCAGGCCCUCCUGGUGCUCUUGGGCAAACAGGGCCCACGGGGGACCCCGCAGGCAGGGGGUGGGGAAGUAGUCUUCACCCCUUCAGUGGGAGGAACUUCAGAGUCC